AAAUUAAUAAGAAAAGCUCUGCAACUUAAAAGACAACAUUCAUCACAAAAUUACAAUGUGUCAAAAUGAGAAAGACACAAAAGUACAAUCUGUUGCUCGCCUUUUUCUGUUUUUUUUUUUUUUUUUUAAUGUCCAUCGACAGUCUCUCAAAAAAUAUGAAGUCUUCGUCAGGAAAUGUUCAAAAAUAUGCGCGCAAAAAACGAAAGUCCUUUUCAGAGUUCGCAACGAACGAAAACACGCAAUAAAAGUUAAUGAUGAUCCUCUUGUAGCCUGAUCCUCCUCGGUUGGAAACCUCAGGAAACCACCUGUCAGAGA